UGGGGAAUUUUGGACAAUGGGGGAAACCCUGAUCCAGCCAUCCCGCGUGUGCGAUGAAGGCCUUCGGGUUGUAAAGCACUUUUGGCAGGAAAGAAACGUCGCGGGUUAAUACCCCGCGAAACUGACGGUACCUGCAGAAUAAGCACCGGCUAACUACGUGCCAGCAGCCGCGGUAAUACGUAGGGUGCAAGCGUUAAUCGGAAUUACUGGGCGUAAAGCGUGCGCAGGCGGUUCGGAAAGAAAGAUGUGAAAUCCCAGAGCUUAACUUUGGAACUGCAUUUUUAACUACCGGGCUAGAGUGUGUCAGAGGGAGGUGGAAUUCCGCGUGUAGCAGUGAAAUGCGUAGAUAUGCGGAGGAACACCGAUGGCGAAGGCAGCCUCCUGGGAUAACACUGACGCUCAUGCACGAAAGGCGUGGGGAGCAAACAGGAUUAGAUACCCUGGUAGUCCACGCCCUAAACGAUGUCAACUAGCUGUUGGGGCCUUCGGGCCUUGGUAGCGCAGCUAACGCGUGAAGUUGACCGCCUGGGGAGUACGGUCGCAAGAUUAAAACUUAAAGGAAUUGAC
rnacentral:rRNA from 1 species